GGGGAUGUAACUCAAGGGUAGAGUAUAUGCUUUGCAAGCAUGAGGUUACCGGUUCAAAUCCGGUCAUCUCCA
rnacentral:tRNA from 1 species